rnacentral:rRNA from 1 species
UACGUAGGGGGCUAGCGUUGUCCGGAUUUAUUGGGCGUAAAGAGCGUGUAGGCGGCCAGGUAGGUCUGCUGUGAAAACUCGAGGCUCAACCUCGAGACGUCGGCGGAAACCAUCUGGCUAGAGUCCGGAAGAGGAGAGUGGAAUUCCUGGUGUAGCGGUGAAAUGCGCAGAUAUCAGGAAGAACACCCGUGGCGAAGGCGGCUCUCUGGGACGGUACUGACGCUGAGGCGCGAAGGCCAGGGGAGCAAACGGG